CGUGAUCCACCUGCUGCGGGCAGAUAUAGUGGAUGUGGCAGUCAAAGCCGCCGGGCGUCAGGAUGCGGCCUUCGCCGGCGAUGAUCUCGGUUCCGGGUCCGAUCACCAGGGUGACGCCGGGCUGGGUGUCGGGAUUGCCGGCCUUGCCGAUUCCGGCGAUGCGGCCGUCACGCAGGCCCACGUCGGCCUUGGUGAUCCCCUGGUGGUCAAAGACCACGACGCCGGUGAUGACGGUAUCCAUCGCGCCGCCCGCGCGCGUGACCUGGGACUGGCCCAUGCCGUCGCGCACG
rnacentral:sRNA from 1 species